AUCGAACGCUGGCGGCAGGCCUAACACAUGCAAGUCGAGCGGAAGAAGCGAGCUUGCUCCUGGAUUCAGCGGCGGACGGGUGAGUAAUGCCUAUGAAUCUGCCUGGUAGUGGGGGAUAACGUCCGGAAACGGGCGCUAAUACCGCAUACGUCCUGAUGGAGCAAGUGGGGGAUCUUCGGACCUCUUGCUUUCAUAUUAGCCUAGGUCGGAUUAGCUAGUUGGUGGGGUAAAGGCUUACCAAGGCGACGAUCCGUAACUGGUCUGAGAGGAUGAUCAGUCACACUGGAACUGAGACACGGUCCCGACUCCUACGGGAGGCAGCAGUGGGGAAUAUUGGGCAAUGGGCGAGAGCCUGAUACAGCCAUGCCGCGUGUGUGAAGAAGGUCUUCGGAUUGUAAAGCACUGUAAGUUGGGGGGAAGGGCAGUAAGUUAAUACCUUGCUGUAUUGACGGUACCAAGAGAAUAAGCACCGGCUAACUUCGUG
rnacentral:rRNA from 1 species